rnacentral:rRNA from 1 species
GGAUGAACGCUGGCGGCGUGCCUAAUACAUGCAAGUCGAGCGAACGGACGAGAAGCUUGCUUUUCUGAUGUUAGCGGCGGACGGGUGAGUAACACGUGGAUAACCUACCUAUAAGACUGGGAUAACUUCGGGAAACCGGAGCUAAUACCGGAUAAUAUUUUUAACCGCAUGGUUCAAAAGUGAAAGACGGUCUUGCUGUCACUUAUAGAUGGAUCCGCGCUGCAUUAGCUAGUUGGUAAGGUAACGGCUCACCAAGGCAACGAUGCAUAGCCGACCUGAGAGGGUGAUCGGCCACACUGGAACUGAGACACGGUCCAGACUCCUACGGGAGGCAGCAGUAGGGAAUCUUCCGCAAUGGGCGAAAGCCUGACGGAGCAACGCCGCGUGAGUGAUGAAGGUCUUCGGAUCGUAAAACUCUGUUAUUAGGGAAGAACAUAUGUGUAAGUAACUGUGCACAUCUUGACGGUACCUAAUCAGAAAGCCACGGCUAACUACGUG